UCAGCAAUUUACUUCCGGGGUGUUCAUUGUUCAAGAUGUCGGACGCAGACAAAGGAAUCAGCGAAGCGUGUGAGAAAAAUGAUAGUUUGACAGGAUUUAAAGUACGAGAAUUGAAAAGCUACUUGGCUAGCCGUAGGCAGAAUGUUUCAGGCAAUAAACAGCAAUUAAUUGAUCGUGUAAAAGGGACAUUUAAACUUGGUAUUUCGGACGUAAACGGAGAAGACGAUGGCGUGUUGCAGCAUAAUGCUAGCUCGCACAGAUUUGUUACACCUUCGGGUGAGAAAAUUCCCCAUCCUGACUCAUUAGAUAAUUGGACAGAUGAUUAUUCAAAACUCCCGGAAUUUGGAGAUAAAGACAUCUACAAUUAUCUAGUGUUAAAAAUGAAUUCUCAGAGACAUCUCAAGUCUAAAGUGUUCUAUGAAGAUGGACAUGUACAUAAAGUCCAGGUAAAACAGGAAUAGAAGCAUACAAAGAUGUAAAAUAAAUAUUUAUUUGUUUUCAAACAAGUAGCAUCGAUGAAAACACAAGUCAUCUCUACAUCCGAGCAACUGUCAUCCCAUCAUUUCCAACAGCCGAUAAGAAAAAGUCUCCAGAUUAUCGACCUUGGGUUCUCCUUUCCAAAGUGACUGGAUGUGUGCAUUCUGCAACCUGUAAUUGUCCAGCAGGAGAAGGUGAAUCGUGUAACCACAUCGGCGCGCUCUUGUAUGCAGUGAAGGACAUUUGUAACAAAGUGCAAGAUGGCAAGCAUUCCUCAACAUCUCAAAAAUGCAAGUGGUCAAAUCCCAGGAAGAGGAAAUUAAGUCCAAAAAAGAGUCAGAGUGUGAUUUUCAAGAAACACAAGUUCGAAUCCUCAUUGAGGAAACCUGUAAGUGGCUUGUUUGUAAAAGAGAAUGCUACAUUCACAGAAAGUACAGUGAACAUUCAACGACUGAGAAACAGACUUACUGAAAAAUCCUUGAAUGUAGGUUGGCUGCAAAACUUUCCCGUGCACAAGGAACCCGAGCCAUUGAUACCAACUAUCCACAAAGUUGAGUUCAUGUACAGGGACUCGGUGAACUUAGAGUCGCCCGAGUGUUGCACAGUCUUUGAGGCCCAUUUUAGAAAUAUUAACAUUAGUGCCGAUGACUGUCAGGCUGUGGAAACAAUGACUCGGGGGCAGAGUAGCCAGCCAUGGAAGGUUGCCCGAAGAGAGAGGAUAACUUCUUCAUUCUUUGGGAAAGUUUUUAAACGAAAGACUGACACUAAGCCUGACAACCUGUUGAAGGAGAUGCUGUAUUCUGAUUUCUCCAACAAAUCUACUGCAUAUGGAAAAAAACAUGAAAAACCCGCACGGAAAAUGUACGUCUGGAAAAUGAACACCGUCCAUAAGGGAUUGAAAGUAACAGAAUGUGGGUUGCUAGUAAACCAAAGGUACCCACAUCUUGGUUCCAGUCCAGAUGGCCUAGUUUAUUGUCCACAUUGUGAAGAGAGUCAUGGACUUGUUGAAAUUAAAUGCCCCGCAUCAAUGAAGUGGCGGAUGAUCACACCUGAGGAGUGUUGUAAUGACAAAGACUUUUUCUGUUCCCUUGUCGAUGGAAAGGUGGUUUUGAAACAAAAUCACCAGUACUACUAUCAAGUACAAGGACAAAUGGCAGUCAGUGGUAGAAGGUGGUGCGAUUUUGUUGUUUGGACAUGUGCCGGCUUGUCAGUGGAGCGUAUCACGUUCAAUAAUAAACUGUGGAUGCAAAUGCAAGCCAGACUUGAUGACUUCUACAUUAAGUCCUUCAUCCCGGAGUUGUACAGCCUACGUGUGUAUAGGAAUGUACCUUUAAUUUGAAGAAAUUGAACAAUGGACUGGUAGUACAUAAGAAGUGUCUGUCUAUAAGCAAUAAAAUGAAUAAGAUCAGUACUACUACUAUAGACAUGGUUUCUGUUUGAAAGUGAAAGGUUACUUUUUGACCUUGUGUGUUACCGCCUUGUAUGCGCCUUGUAUGUUUGAAAAAAUAAAUACAUGUUCAUGUUAUAUAAAUUCAUUGAUGGGAAAUAGAUGUACCAUUACAUAGGAUUGUACUCUACAAUGUUUUUGAAUUGUCAUAUGAUAUUAUUAUUUGACUUGAUUGUUUGUUAUGAAUUAUAAAUAAUACGAGAUUAAAUGACUUGUUCAAGUUAAUAUGCAUGAAAUAAAUGUGUGUACAAUGCUU